GAUGAACGCUGACAGAAUGCUUAACACAUGCAAGUCUUUGGCGAAGCUGUGCUUGCACAGCCUAGCCAAGGCGGACGGGUGAGUAACGCGUAAGGAACUUGCCCUGCAGUCAGGGAUAACAGACGGAAACGACUGAUAAGACCUGGUAAAGUCAGGCGGACUCAUGUCCAGCCUGAUGAAAAGAGAUGCUGCAGGAGAGCCUUGCGUCCUAUUAGCUUGUUGGUGGGGUAACGGCCCACCAAGGCGAUGAUAGGUAGCCGGCCUGAGAGGGUGGACGGCCACAAGGGGACUGAGAUACGGCCCUUACUCCUACGGGAGGCAGCAGUGGGGAAUAUUGGACAAUGGGGGCAACCCUGAUCCAGCAAUUCUGUGUGCACGAUGAAGGUUUUCGGAUUGUAAAGCGCUUUCAGCAGGGAAGAAAAAAAUGACGGUACCUGCAGAAGAAGCGACGGCUAAAUACGUG
rnacentral:rRNA from 1 species